rnacentral:lncRNA from 1 species
GCGGCGCGGCGCGGCGCGAUGAUACAGCUGCUCUUCACGCUGCUAGCGGCGGAGGGCGCCGUGGCGGCGGUGCUACUCUUCAAGACGCCGCUGCGGAGGCUGGCCGUGCUCGCGCUCGACCACCUCAAGCGGGGCCGCGGGCCCGUCAUGGUGCGCACCAUCGCGGCCACCGUGCUUGUCGUGCUCGCAUCCAGUCUCCACAGCAUGGCCAAGAUCCGCGGCCACGCCGAGGGGGAGCUCGACGGCUCCGGGGUCGUGGGGCUCACCCCCACCGACCAGGUCCUUCUUGCGCG